GUCAUUUAGACAAGCAGAGUGAGGAAAAGAAGAAUGACAACUAGAAAGUUUUGACUUAUCAACCUCAAUCACUCUCACCAUGCACUCAAUGAAGAAAUGCCACGUCAGGCAAUAGUGGUACGAUCAAUCCGCCUUCUAAACAGUAGAGUACUCGACAAAUUCACAGUUCACACAGAAAUUAAAUCCCCCCACUUUCUUGAUCCUAACGACUCGUCAACCGCCCACGUUUAUUACCCCUCCAUCAAAUACAAAUACGAACACAUUCCGCACCAAUCAAAUCCACCUUUCGAUUUGGAUUUUAUGUAUCUCUUUCUCAAAUUCCUCCUCGUCACCAAACUUGAAGUACUGAAUCUAAAACAUUUUUAAUAUGUUCGCGGCUAGUGAUCAUCAUCGUCAUCAUCAACAAAUGUUGCAAUAUUAUGCUUAUCCCCCUCAUUUGGGAUCUCCAAUGUUAUUGCCCAAUAAUGCAGCAGCAAUGGAGAAAAAAUGGAAACCAGACGUUGAAACUGCACCAAGUUGCCCUCGAUUCUUAAUGAGUAUCUAAAAGAAAAAAAAAAAGAUCUUGUUAAGUUACAUUAUAAUGUAACUUACAUGGACCAUUAAAUUGUAAUUAAUAAUUUAAAAAUAAAAUUAAUUAAAUUAUUUUUUAAGUCACUAAAUACAUAUUUUAGAUGAAUGUAAUUAUCAUAUAACUUAACAACACCCGUAAAAGAUAAUUUGUAUUUGAUUUCUUAAUUUAUUUUUCAUAUGUGGUGGGUACGAAAGUUAAUGCAAGCAAUCAUUGUGCUGAAGAUGGCAGAGAUUUUUCAAGUGACAGAUGCAUCGACACCGAAGCUCCUGACGAGCAACCAAAUUCCAAUGACAUUGGUUUUGGAGCAAUCAUAGCUCAACAAGGUCUCUCUAUUCUCUGUGCAUAUUAAUUAAUUAAUAGUUUCAAUUAUUAACUAGAGAUGUUAAAUGGGUCGUGCACACGUGUAUAGUCGGGUCACCAAGGGUUGGAUCUGGCUGCUGCAAGCCCAAAAACAAGUCGUCCUACCAACUAGUUUUUGUGAUUUAGCCCAAAUAAUUUUAUAAAUCUGACGUUUCAUCCCAAAUUGAUGUACUUUUUUUUUUAUUUAACCCCCUAAAAUGUAAAAACUUACCACUAAGACUUUUGGACCGCUAAAUUUCCUGUUCUUGGAAGCGCCAUGGACACUUGUGCCUGGUUGAAUUUGGUAAUUAUAAGUGCUUAAAUCUCAUAAUUAUUAGUUCUUUCUUCCAAUUUCUUCAAUGAAUUUACAGCUCUGCAUUGUAAGAAACGAGUUCAGCAAGCUGCAAAUAAACUACUGGGUAUGCAAAUUAAUUAUUUUCAGUGAUUUCAAAUUUUUUUUUUUUGGUUCUAUUUGUUCUAAAGAAUGAGUAUUAAUUAAUUCAUAUUUCAGGUAUCAAUGAAAUAUAUAAAAUGAAACUCAAACAUGGAAAUACUCUCAAGAAUUUGGGACCAGCUUGCUAAGUUGAAUUCCACUCAACAUCUACAAUCGCUAGUAAUGCCUUCAAUGUUUCAAGCCACAGAAUCUGGGAACGUCGAGUUUGUUGUGGAGAUGAUUAAAUUCGAUCCGGCUUUGGUCUGGUCUCGCACAGAAUUGGGUGGCAUAUAAUUUCAUGCAGCAGUUGAACAGCGCCAAGAAAGCAUAUGGAACCUCAUAUAUGAGACCGAAGAAAAUAGAGAUCUUGCUUCUAUUGAGGACAGUUUCGAUAAUGACAUAUUGCAAUUAGCAGGAAUGUUAGCACCCGUUUCUUACCUUAGCAAAAUCGCAUGUCCUGCCAUGCAAAUGCAAAGGGACUUACAAUGGUUUAAGGUGGGUCAAUUUUUCUUUUAGCUAAUUUUCCCUUGAUCAUUAAUUAAACUAAUUGACUCAUUUUAUGUAGUGAGUCAUUUUCUACUGUGGAUGACAAUACAUUUUAAAAUAUGAAUUGUAAGACUCUACAUAUAACGGUCUAAUUAUGACAAAAUAAUAGUUAUGUACUAAAUUAGAAAAAUGUCAUAGGCACAAAUCAUCAAUUUAAUUGAAAUGUGUAGAUGUUCUCAUUUAUAUUUUAUCCAUUAUCAACUGGUGCUUAUUAGCAAUAUUGAUUUAUAAUUAUUUUAGGCAGUGGAGAAAAUAUAGUGCGACCCAUGAUGAGAGAACACAAGAAUAGGGAAGGCAAAACACCACGGACAUUGUUUACAGAACAAGACAAGAGUUUAGCAAUUGAAGGUAAGAAGUGGAUGAAAGACACGGCAACAUCAUGCAUGGUUGUAGCAACUCUGAUUGUCACAGUUAUGUUUGAAGGCGCGAUUCACAUUCCCGGCGGAACCAAAGAUUCCGGAGAUCCAUAUUUAGAAUACAUAGAUAUUACAUGCAUGACUCCUAAGCAUAAUUAACAUACAUAAUCCUAGAGGUGUCCACAAUAUCUCCGGGGGGACCCUAAUGGAUACAUGCAUGACUUCUAAGCAUAAUUAACAUAUGCUAUAUAAUUUCGUGGUGUUUAUCACUGAUGGUAACACUGCACUUUGAAAAUGAUGUUUGUGGGCAGAAGAAUAUUUAGAAGAUGGUCAUGUAAUUUAUUUUUUCAAAAAAAAAAAAAAAAUGGGAUGGAUAAAUCCCAAAUUAAAUUUUUAGCCUCUAAAUGCCAUCCUGAAAUUAAAAUUCACGUUGUUUAUGCGAGAAGAUAAGCGAUCAAUGAUAUGUUGUUAAGUGACGAACAAACUAUCGACGGUGAAUGAGACGUGGAAGCUACUAAUCCUCAAAGCUUGUUCACAUCUUUCCCAAGAUUGCCCACGUGAUUGGAAUGUUCUCUUAUAUAUCUUCAAAUCAAACAUGCCAAACUAGUGUUAAUAAUGCAAAUGUCCUUAUGUAUUGAUGUGGAUUGAGACUGUCUUAUCGUUGGUUUUGUGAUCAAAUGAAAUGAGGAAAAGAAUUGUUCCGUGCAAAAUUAGAUUAUGUGAUGGAAGGGCUUUUCAAUUUGCUCGUUUUAUUGUUGUUUUGAGGAUAUAGCAUAUAUAAUUAUUGAAGCCCUAGUGAAAAAAGUUUAUAAUGAAUGAGAAGCUAUACCUUUAAUUAGCUUAUAGAAGAUAACAUUCUAUGUAACGUCCGACUAGAAACCACAUUAUUUGCCAUGCAUUUUAUAGAUCGAGGGGAAUUAAGUUCUAUAAAGUUUGUAUAGUGUGGAUCGAGAGGGAUGUUGAAUAUAUUCAAAUAAUACAUUGAAUUUAUUAUUUAAUCUAAACAUAUUAAUUAAUUUGAGAGUAAGAGUCCAAAUAAUAGUAUAUAUUUAAAUUUAACUGAUCCAACUUUGAUGCAAUAUAUGCAGAUGAAUGAUAUUACUUGCAUGGCACGUACUAUAAUUUUAUAUUUUAUAAACGCAAUAAUUUAACAAACCCAAAUCUAAAGGGGGCUUUGAUUUGAGAAAGCUAGCUACGAGCUCACACGGAUUUGCACCGAAAGCAGGGAAGACUAACGCGAUACGUUGACCAUAAAAUUAAACGGGGGAUAAAUUUAAUCACUGACAUCGAGAACAGUGACGUGUAGGAAGAAGCACCAUGGACACAACCUGUGCUGAAGCUAGCAUUUGAUGUUAAAUGGUUAAUCAUCAAUCAAAGUUCGUAAAAUCUAAGGAAUUGAAUGGAAGUCAAGCGUGCCACGUAGCCUCGUAAGCACGUGGUCACGGGGUGCAACUAGCCGCGACCAUAGCCUUUUCAUUAUUCUAGCACUUUUAAUUCCUUGUUCUUCGUUAAUCCCCACGGCAGCUAGUUAAGUGUUCACCGUAUUAAGUCCAUUCUUGCCGACUUCUCACACUAUAUUUUUUUUAAUACUCAAUUACUUAACUGCCCAUGGCUAUGUCAUUUUUUUUUGGUGAGUCAAAUAAAUAAUAUAUAUCGCGUGUUGCUUCUACUCAAGAAAAUAAUUCGAUAAAGUUCUAUACAAUGAUCAAGAUACUAUUUGUGAUAUUGCAUUAGGUGAAAGAAGAAUUAUAUUCUAUAUAUAUGUAGGACGAUCGACUAUUUUUGUCAUCAUAUUGUAUUGUUUAUUCAUUUAUUUUGGCACAAAAAUGUUUAUAACAAUUCAAAUAAAUCAAUGUCAUUAAUUCGUACAGCAAUUUAAUAAGGAGGAGAUGUUAUAUAUCUACACAUUUUAUCUUUUAAGUGAACAAAUAAAUUGAUACUUACUUUGGAUAUCGCGAUAGCAUUUGACACCCAGUCUCACUUCCUUCUUUUGCGUUGAUGCAAUAUGGUGAGAUAACGAUGGAAAAAAAAAAUUGGUACUCACUUGAAUGAAUAUAAUGUAUACAUUUGCACAUUGUAUUAUAUUAUUAGAUGAUUAUAUUAUGACGUAUGUAUCAUAGAAUUUUUCAUAGUACAGAAAUUAUGUAUAACAUGUUGGAUCAAAUAGGAGUAAACUGAGGCUUUUUAGCAUAUUUUGGUUGAUCCAACUUUGAUGCCGUAUUUAUAUAUAUCUAGUAACAGAUUGGAGAGCAGAAAUAAAAGAUCCUGUCAAGUUUUUUUAAUUAUAAAAUGUGUACGCAGGUCUAUAAUAUUCGAAGAGGAAAAAAUCAUAUUAUAUUGAACCAACUCGAUCCGCUUAAGAAAGAUAUUUAAAAAUAAUAAUAAUAAUAAUUAGAAGGAUAUUUUGGUCAUUUAGACAAGCAGAGUGAGGAAAAGAAGAAUGACAACUAGAAAGUUUUGACUUAUCAACCUCAAUCACUCUCACCAUGCACUCAAUGAAGAAAUGCCACGUCAGGCAAUAGUGGUACGAUCAAUCCGCCUUCUAAACAGUAGAGUACUCGACAAAUUCACAGUUCACACAGAAAUUAAAUCCCCCCACUUUCUUGAUCCUAACGACUCGUCAACCGCCCACGUUUAUUACCCCUCCAUCAAAUACAAAUACGAACACAUUCCGCACCAAUCAAAUCCACCUUUCGAUUUGGAUUUUAUGUAUCUCUUUCUCAAAUUCCUCCUCGUCACCAAACUUGAAGUACUGAAUCUAAAACAUUUUUAAUAUGUUCGCGGCUAGUGAUCAUCAUCGUCAUCAUCAACAAAUGUUGCAAUAUUAUGCUUAUCCCCC
rnacentral:lncRNA from 1 species